rnacentral:rRNA from 1 species
GCAAGUCGAACGAGAAAGCUCCUUCGGGAGUGAUUAGAGUGGCGCACGGGUGAGUAACACGUGGGUGACCUGCCCUUUAGUGGGGAAUAACCAGAGGAAACUCUGGCUAAUACCGCAUGAGUUCAGCAAUUUUGAAAGUAGCUGAAGAAAGACUGCCUCUCCUUGGAAGCAGUCGCUGAAGGAUGGGCCCGCGCGACAUUAGCUUGUUGGUGGGGUAAAGGCCUACCAAGGCUACGAUGUCUAGCCGGUCUGAGAGGAUGAUC